AUCGUUUCUUGACCUUUGGCUAAGUUCAAGUGUAGUAUCUGUAUUUAUCAGUUUAUUAUCUGACACGUCCCCUUUCUGGAGAUCAUAUAUUAAAUGGAUUUUUGAAAAUUGGGGCAGAUUUCGAAGCUGGCUUCGUCGCACUGUGACCUUCCCGAUCUGGCCGUUUAUUUUGGUACAGUGUACCAAGA